rnacentral:lncRNA from 1 species
UCUCCUCCCUCUGCUUCACCAAUAAAUACGUAGAGAGAGAGAGUUUUUGAGAACAUCGUCGUCACCAUGCCUUCCGAGCUAACUCAGGAAGAACGAUCCAAACUCACCCAAUCCAUAUCCGAGUUUCACACUUACCACCUCGGUCCCGGAAGCUGCUCCUCGCUCCACGCGCAGCGAAUCCACGCGCCGCCGGAGAUCGUCUGGUCAGUCGUCCGUCAAUUCGACAAACCGCAGACCUACAAGCACUUCAUCAAGUCCUGCUCCGUCGAGGAAGGAUUCGAGAUGCGCGUCGGUUGCACGCGCGACGUGAUCGUGAUCAGCGGGCCCUAAUUCCAAAACCCCACCCCUUAACUCUAAACCCUAAGGUUUGGAUUAAUUAACCCAAGGGGUAUAAGUGUAUAUUUACCUCUUUAAUGAAACCUAUUUUUGUGACUUUGAGCCUUGAGUGCUACUUUAGGAACAAAAACUUGGUUUGGUGAUAUCAUAGUCUUUUUCUCUUAUAUAUAUAGAUAUAUAUUAUAUCUGCUUAGGCUCCGUUUAGGCGUCCGCGUAUACAGCUAUACGCUAGGCGCUGGGUCACCGCACAGUGAGCGCAUAGCGUAUUUUAGAACACUGUUAUUUGCCUUUAAAUGUUUUGUUUAUUUCCAUAUAUACCCUUCAUCUUCCCUCAAAUUCGAUCUCUCUCCUCCCUCUGCUUCACCAAUAAAUACGUAGAGAGAGAGAGAGAGUUUUUGAGAUCAUCGUCGUCGUCACCAUGCCUUCCGAGCUAACUCAGGAAGAACGAUCCGAACUCACCCAAUCCAUCUCCGAGUUUCACACUUACCACCUCGGUCCGGGAAGCUGCUCCUCGCUCCACGCGCAGAGAAUCCACGCGCCGCCGGAGAUCGUCUGGUCAGUCGUCCGUCAAUUCGACAAACCGCAGACCUACAAGCACUUCAUCAAGUCCUGCUCCGUCGAAAAAGCAUUCGAGAUGCGCGUCGGGUGCACGCGCGACGUGAUCGUGAUCAGCGGGUUGCCGGCGAACACGUCGACGGAGAGGCUCGACAUGCUCGACGAC